rnacentral:snRNA from 1 species
AUAAUAAGAACAUCAUGUAUACUAAAAUUGGAAAGAUAUAGAGAUUGGCAUGGCCCCUGCACAAGAAUGACAUACACAUUUGUGAAGUGUUCCAUACUUUU